CCCUAAUAUGGUGGUGGGAUGACGGUACCGGAAGAAUAAGCACCGGCUAACUACGUGCCAGCAGCCGCGGUAAUACGUAGGGUGCGAGCGUUAAUCGGAAUUACUGGGCGUAAAGCGUGCGCAGGCGGUCUGUUAAGACCGAUGUGAAAUCCCCGGGCUUAACCUGGGAACUGCAUUGGUGACUGGCAGGCUUUGAGUGUGGCAGAGGGGGGUAGAAUUCCACGUGUAGCAGUGAAAUGCGUAGAGAUGUGGAGGAAUACCGAUGGCGAAGGCAGCCCCCUGGGCCAACACUGACGCUCAUGCACGAAAGCGUGGGGAGCAAACAGGAUUAGAUACCCUGGUAGUCCACGCCCUAAACGAUGUCAACUAGUUGUUGGGGAUUCAUUUCCUUAGUAACGUAGCUAACGCGUGAAGUUGACCGCCUGGGGAGUACGGUCGCAAGAUUAAAACUCAAAGGAAUUGACGGGGACCCGCACAAGCGGUGGAUGAUGUGGAUUAAUUCGAUGCAACGCGAAAAACCUUACCUACCCUUGACAUGGUCGGAAGUCUGCUGAGAGGUGGACGUGCUCGAAAGAGAACCGGCGCACAGGUGCUGCA
rnacentral:rRNA from 1 species